AUACGUAGGGGGCGAGCGUUGACCGGAAUGAUUGGGCGUAAAGGGCGCGUAGGCGGCCCGGUAAGUCUGGAGUGAAAGUCCUGUGUUUAAGAUGGGAAUUGCUUUGGAUACUGUCGGGCUUGAGUGCAGGAGAGGUAAGUGGAAUUCCCAGUGUAGCGGGGAAAUGCGUAGAGAUUGGGAGGAACACCAGUGGCGAAGGCGACUUACUGGACUGUAACUGACGCUGAUGCGCGAAAGUGUGGGGAGCAAACAGGAUUAGAUACCCUGGUAGUCCACACUGUAAACGAUGAAGGCUAGGUGUAGGGGGUAUCGACCCCUUCUGUGCCGCAGUCAACACAACAAGCAGUCCGCCUGGGGAGUACGGCCGCAAGGUUGAAACUCAAAUGAAUUGACGGGG
rnacentral:rRNA from 1 species